rnacentral:rRNA from 1 species
UACGUAGGGUGCGAGCGUUAAUCGGAAUUACUGGGCGUAAAGCGUGCGCAGGCUGUUCUGUAAGUCAGAUGUGAAAUCCCCGAGCUCAACUUGGGAACUGCGUUUGAAACUACAGGACUAGAAUAUGUCAGAGGGGGGUAGAAUUCCACGUGUAGCAGUGAAAUGCGUAGAUAUGUGGAGGAACACCGAUGGCGAAGGCAGCCCCCUGGGUCAAGACUGACGCUCAUGCACGAAAGCGUGGGGAGCAAACAGG